rnacentral:lncRNA from 1 species
GUCAGUCAUCUUACUUGCAAUCAUCAAACUGGUCUUAUUUCAAUGAUUUUGUGGAAUCUGAGUAAUGUCAUGCAUCCGAGGUCUAAUGCUAGAUAUGAUUAUAUGUUUGACUUGUUAUUUCUUGACAUCAGUGCACACAUGCUUGAAUUCAUUGGCAAAAGGAUGAUUUUGAAGAGAAUGCGAGUCAUUUGGAAUGGCUUGGAAGAUUGGGACCAGCACAUGGGUACUUCAAUCCUCAAAGGAGACGUAAUAUGUGAGUGCCAAGACUGGGACCAGUCAUGGGAUUAUGGAUUGAUGAAAUUUUGUGUGAGACUUACAAAGCUGCCCCAGUUUUUUUUAUCGUGGUAUAGGUUGAUGAAAAAUUCGUGUGAGGUUUAGAAAGUUGCCCCAAUUUUUUUCGGCAAGGGGUUCAGUUUGGAAGAGGUAGUGGACAUGAAAAGGAUCGGCUAAAAGGAUGUCCCCAAAUUAGUUUGAUUUUUCCUUUGCAUGCUCCUGGUUAGAUGGCAGGGUGAUCCCCUUUUCCUGAGACAUUACUUUUUCUUCUUUUUUUUCUUUUUUCUUGUUUUUUUUUCUCUUUUUUUUUUUUGACACAUUGAAAAUCAUUUCCCCUUAUCGCAAAAAUUAAGCUUCAUGAAAACUUUAGCAAACAUUAUCCAAUNUGCGUGGACUUUAUUAAGCUUGUAACGUGGCUAGGGGCUAAAAGGUUUUGGAAGAAAGGGUAUAAAGGCCCAAAUGAAUGUUUGUUGGUUAUAUUAUUUUUUUGAAGCAAGGGUUAUCAUCUAGAUAUUGCAUCAACUAUUGGACUUUUUUGAGCACUUUGUUCUUGUCCUUGAACUUCAUUUUUCAUUCUUUUUGCUCAACAUCACUUUGUGAUUUUUUUUGUUGUUCUUUUUGUUUUUCUUUGUUUUUUAUUCACUCUUCUUGAUGUAUUCUCUUCAUUUGACAAUUGAGUGCUCUUAUUUGCGACAUGAGUUGACUCCUAACUGAUGACAACCCUUGCUUGGGGAUGAUUUUGAAAAAGAAUUUAUUUUUGGCUCAAAUGGGGUGACAAUGGAUAUAUUUUUUUUUUUUUGUUUUUAGGUGAAGACAAGAAGGCCACACAUCAUUUUGAACUCUGAUUGCUUUAUUUUCAAAAGAUU